GAGCUCUUUUCACAUUGUGCUACUGUCUGCACCCGUCACGAGCAGUGCAAUGUUAAAAGGGCAU
rnacentral:miRNA from 1 species